ACGUCGUUCGCUCGCGUGUCGCGUCGUCCUGCGCAUUUUUCGUGAUUCUGUGUAGUCCGAAAGCGAAUUUCAUACGGGAGUGUGUCGUAUCGUAAUUCAUUAACAGUCGCAAUAUAAUUAUCGUUAUUAUUAUCCGCGGUUCCGGUUCCGUUCGUCGUGAAUCGAUCGAAACUCUCUGAACGCGUACAUUCAACCUCCUCGCCGAGAUGCAUCGAAAAAUGCAACGAGAUUGCCAGAUAAUACAUUGACAGGACACUCGUAAUCGGUAACAGCAACGUUGGAGGUUAAGUUGCAUCUUCGUCCUGAGGACUCCGAGAUCUUCGCAAGUUUUCGAGGGAUUUUCUGGCCGAACUGCAGCGGAAACGAUCAAAUCACAUCUUCACUGUUGCGCAUCGUACUGAUUUUGACGAGAGCGACGACGUGGCGCGAUCGGUUCGUCAUCGACAUCGAGAUUUCUUCUGGCCGGAAGCUCGCG